rnacentral:rRNA from 1 species
AACGAACGCUGGCGGCAGGCUUAACACAUGCAAGUCGAGCGCCCCGCAAGGGGAGCGGAAGACGGGUGAGUAACGCGUGGGAAUCUACCCAUCUCUACGGAAUAACGCAUGGAAACGUGUGCUAAUACCGUAUACGUCAUUCGGGAGAAAGAUUUAUCGGAGAUGGAUUAGCGCGCGUUGCAUUAGCUAUUUGGUGGGGUAAAGGCCUACCAAGGCGACGAUCCAUAGCUGGUCUGAGAGGAUGAUCAGCCACACUGGGACUGAGACAGGGCCCUGUCACCGACGGGAGUUAGCAGUGGGGAAUAUUGAACAAUGCGGGCAGGCCUGAACCAUCCAUGCCGCGGGGGUGAGGAAGGCCCUAAGGUUGUAAAGCACGUUAACCGGUUAAGAUAAUAACGGUCACGCGAGAAGUAGGUCCGGCUAGCUUAGUGCUAGCCGCAGCCGUAAAAC